GGUCAAGCUACAAAGGGCUCAUGGCGGAUACCUUGGCACACAGAGGCGAUGAAGGACGUGGUUACCUGCGAUAUGUCUCGGGGAGCUGGAUACACGCUUUGAUCCGGGAAUUUCCGAAUGGGGCAACCCUUAGAACGGCCAGCUGAAUACAUAGGCUGGCGCGAGCCAACCCAGCGAAUUGAAACAUCUUAGUAGCUGAGAAAGUAAAUUAUUGU
rnacentral:rRNA from 1 species